rnacentral:rRNA from 1 species
GACGAACGCUGGCGGCGUGCCUAAUACAUGCAAGUCGAGCGAAUUGAUGGGAGCUUGCUCCCUGAUAUUAGCGGCGGACGGGUGAGUAACACGUGGGUAACCUGCCUGUAAGAUUGGGAUAACUCCGGGAAACCGGAGCUAAUACCGGAUAACAUUUCGAACCGCAUGGUUUGAAAUUGAAAGAUGGUUUCGGCUAUCACUUACAGAUGGACCCGCGGCGCAUUAGCUAGUUGGUGAGGUAACGGAUCACCAAGGCAACGAUGCGUAGCCGACCUGAGAGGGUGAUCGGCCACACUGGGACUGAGACACGGCCCAGACUCCUACGGGAGGCAGCAGUAGGGAAUCUUCCGCAAUGGACGAAAGUCUGACGGAGCAACGCCGCGUGAACGAUGAAGGCCUUCGGGUCGUAAAGUUCUGUUGUUAGGGAAGAACAAGUACCAGAGUAACUGCUGGUACCUUGACGGUACCUAACCAGAAAGCCACGGCUAACUACGUGCCAGCAGCCGCAGUAAUAC